UCUUCCAGGUUCCAACCACGUAACCCCUACCCUUUCCUCAUCUCUUCGCUUGCAGGAAAAUAAAGGAGAAAAGUCUCCCUGGCGGCAUGGAUCUGGUGGCGGCGAGUUCAAUCCUACAGCCGUCGCGCUUCCUGACUGCUGCUCCAAUUAGUUCUCAUUACGCUGGAGAAGACCGGAAAAGUCUCCUCUACCUCCCAUCGUUGUUGGUAUCUACUGUGUGUCUCAUCGAUCUGGCGGCGGCGACUUCAAUCGGGCUGCCCAUUGCGUUUUCUGACUCCUCUAAUCGGUUCGUAUCGCAGUGGUGCUGGCCGGACAAGCUAUCUGACUAUCUACCUUGUUGUAGGUCUGUACUAUGUGUUGCCUUGAUCUGGAAAAGGCAAGAUAUGGAGAGAAGAUCAUCGCAUCAUGGCUAUGUCGAAUCUAGGACCACGCUUCAACGCACUCACGAUUUGGAACGGAAUUUAGUGGCCUUGAUAGUUAUAUGCAACAACGAAAGUACACAUCUAUAUGAAGAGAUCAUCAAUGCUAAUCUUCUUCCAACAUCUUCCUAGAAAAUCACGCCAGCAAUAGUCGGUGAAGGGACUACAUGCAUCAUGCAGUUCACCAUCUCUUUCCAAGGCCAUAAUAGUCCAUAAAGCAAAUGUGGAGGUAAAACGGCAGAAUUUUUAAGCAGGUCGAGCAGCCUCAAUAACCUUGCCCAAUGGAGGCACUACAGCGGACUACCGGACUGGUGAUGCAGUAGUUCAUCCUCGCGCAUAUGGUUCAGGUCUAGCUCAUGCCGCAACUCAACAGGCAAGUAAUCUCAAUUCAGCAACUUACAAGUUCAGUUCUCCAAACCGUCCAAUUCUUUAAUAUAGAACCCAAUAAAAAUCGCAUCGAUUCCUCAUGUGACAUCAAUAGAAAAUCCCCGCUGUGUACGAACUGAACAAUAAAAUGAUGAGAUCCUUUGUGUUCUUGGAGGGGAUGAGCUUACAGCUGACAACAAUGGAGAUAAGAGUAGUGUUGAAGGUUAAGUUGUGGGAGGAUGGAAACCAAUGAGAAUAAGUUUUCCAUGUGAAGACUACGAGCUUUCAAGAAAAGGGUAUGAGACUACGAGGAUGUCCUGCGUCUGGCGGUGCAUGGUGAGACUGACAGCAGCAUCAACGAAAAGAAUUACCCCCGUCCUUCCUUCUAGCGGCGGCACAGGCAUCACGAUCCAUACGACCGUCCUCUCAUCCUCCAUAUCGCUGCUCCACUUCUCAAUUGGGAAUCAAUCUAAAAAAGGUACGAUCCAAACCCAGUUCCCGUAUCAUCGCUGCUCCGCUUCUCAAAUGGUGUCGUAAAUUCUCUCUCUUCCAUGCACGUGAAUCAAUCUAAAAAAAGAGGACGAGCUGCCGGCUGUUUGAAUUAGAUCGGAUGGCCGCCACCAUCGGUGAUGAUGCUCAGCAACGAACUGCGGCCGACCCGGGGCGCAGCUUCACCUCCUUCAUGCCUGCAGGAGACAAGUAAUAAUUGGUUCAUGAGGAGCAUUACUGAUGUAGUCUUGCCGGAGAAAUAACAAACAUAGCUAGCAGCAGCAUUAUGUCCGACGAUGAUAUCAUCUAUCCACUGGUAGUUCAUACUCAGUCUAACAGGCUCAGCUGAUUGUUGUGUCUAUGGUUAAGCUUGCACAACAGAUUAAUUAGCUCCUCUAGCUAGCUUGGUAUAGGAGCACCAGAUCAAUCAGGCCAGCUUACGCUUUGCUGGUACGUGCAAGUUUUGCUUUAGCCAAAAGCACCAGUCAGCGGCGAGCCGUUCACGAGGACUUCCACAUCGAGCAAGUCCCGCAACUGCAAGUCCACCUUGCCGGAAAAUAACAUGUGCGACCUGAGGGCGUGUGAUCAAGGAUGGCAUGUCGCCAUGUUGGAGUAUCCGGUCAUCUAUUACAGAACGAACGGUGCAAGGCAUAUCACGAGUAUUUGGCACAUCGAAAAUGUGCCAACAUGGGAGCAAUGCUGACACAUCGGGUUAUCAUAUCGAUCUGUUGCAGAAUUGCGAUAAUUAAGUGUUGAUUCAAAUAUAUUGCCGUAUAUUCCCCGGUUGCGAGAACAGAUAGGGCAAGAUAUAUCACGAGUAUUCGGCACGUCGAUCAUGUGCCAAGUGAGGAAGCAUGUGAAAAGAAGCCACAAUGAAGUAUCAGAUCGACCCGUUAAAAGUAUAGUUUGGAUAGUCGAUCAUGUGCCAAAUGAGGAAGUGUGCGAAAAGAAGCCACAAUGAAGUAUCAGAUCGACCCGUUACAAGUAUAGUUUGGAUAGUUACUUUUUAUGAAUCCAGCCAUUUGAUAAUUGUCCAGUUGGACGUGCAGUUCUCACUAUAGAGCUGAAAACAAAAUUCUGGGAAAAUUUAUGUACUAUAGAUUUGCUAUUUGAAUGGUGAAAACAAAUAUACCGUGGCAUAUGCCAUGGUUGUGAGAGCUGA